GGGAAUCUUCGGCAAUGGGCGAAAGCCUGACCGAGCAACGCCGCGUGAAUGAAGAAGGCCUUCGGGUUGUAAAACCCUGUUGUUAGAGAAGAAAGUGCGUGAGAGUAACUGUUCACGUUUCGACGGUAUCUAACCAGAAAGCCACGGCUAACUACGUGCCAGCAGCCGCGGUAAUACGUAGGGGGCUAGCGUUAUCCGGAAUUACUGGGCGUAAAGGGUGCGUAGGUGGUUUCUUAAGUCAGAGGUGAAAGGCUACGGCUCAACCGUAGUAAGCCUUUGAAACUGGGAAACUUGAGUGCAGGAGAGGAGAGUGGAAUUCCAUGUGUAGCGGUGAAAUGCGUAGAUAUAUGGAAGAACACCAGUGGCGAAAGCGGCUCUCUGGUCUGUAACUGACGCUGAGGUUCGAAAGCGUGGGUAGCA
rnacentral:rRNA from 1 species